GAUGAACGCUAGCUACAGGCUUAACACAUGCAAGUCGAGGGGCAGCGCAGUGUAGCAAUACAUGGGCGGCGACCAGCGCACGGGUGCGUAACGCGUAUCCAACCUUCCCGUUACUCAGGGAUAGCCUUCCGAAAGGGAGAUUAAUACCUGAUGGUGUUGAAAUUCCGCAUGUUAUUUCAACUAAAGAUUUAUCGGUAACGGAUGGGGAUGCGUGACAUUAGAUAGUAGGCGGGGUAACGGCCCACCAUGGCGACGAUCAGUAGCCGGUCUGAGAGGAUGAACGGCCACAUUGGGACUGAGAUACGGCCCAGACUCCUACGGGAGGCAGCAGUGGGGAAUAUUGGGCAAUGGGGGAAACCCUGACCCAGCAACGCCGCGUGAAGGAAGAAGGCCUUCGGGUUGGUAAACUUCUUUUACCUAGGGACGAACACAAUGACGGUACCUCGGAG
rnacentral:rRNA from 1 species